AGGUCUCCUUGCGCCUGGCCCCGCCCCCAGGGUGCUUGCCGCGCCCCCUCGCGCCGGUGCCCGAGUCUCCUUCGUUAUCCUGGCCCUCCUGACUCACAGCGGGGCGGUUAAUGCCAGCCCUGGGCAUGGCCGAUGUCUACACCUUCUCUGAGACAUAGAAGGGUUGAACGAGGCUCGGUGGUGGCAUCCCUGAACAGGUCCUGGUUCGAGUUCCAACUGAGAAAAAUUAAAAUAUAAGGUCCUGGUAGUGCACAAGAUCUUAACGAGGACACCAAGUCCGGACGGCGUUGGUUGGGGGAUGGAGUGAGGUGGGAAGGUGAGUGGAUGCAGAAUGUUCAGUGGGGAUGCCACAUUAGCACAGGGAGCAAGCUCGUUUGCUGGAAAAGACUGGAAACUCCUUCCGACCGGGACUUCUAAUGAAUGAGCGUUCGAGAGAAAAACCGGUGCCAUAAGAGAAAGUAUACGGCAUACACAUCACAUCGUGUCUUUGUGGCUUCGUGGUUCACCUAAGCUCACUAAUGCAUUCCCAUUCCUGGGCAUACUUGCCCUUUAUUUGAUGGAAAGGCAUGCCAUCAAACUUUGACCUGGAUACUAGCAUGGUUUUUCUUUUGAAUUACUAUUAUUUUUGGAUUUACUUAUCUGUGUGUGUCAUUGUUUUGUCUGCAUGUAUGACUGUAUUUCAUGUUCGAGCCUACAAGUGAUUGUGGGCUUCAGUGUGGGUGCUAACAACCUUAUCAGGUCCUUUGUCAGAACAGCAAGUAUUCUUAAUCCCUGAGUGUCUUGAGUAAGCUAACGUGUAGUUAGUAUAACAAGUAGUGUAACAAAAGUUAUGUUUCAUUAUGCUGAGGGUCAUUCACACUCUCAAUUCCUAUGUGGUCCUAAGCCUGUCUCCCCAACACUGCUCACCUGUCUAGGUAUCUUAGCUGAAGGUCAGGUCCAGGCUCUAACAUAAGUCUCUGAUCCUGGAAGGUUCAGGAUCCUAGGGAGACUCUCCAGCUGCAGGGCAAAUCAGGGUGGCUUCUCUCCAGAUGUGCAGGACAGAGCAUUGUUCUUGGUCUCUGCUUACAUACUGUCCAGUAGAUAUGGGGUACUAGGACUGUGUCUGACUAUCUUGAGUGAGCGAUGUCACUGGGUUCUGGUUGCCAGGUGCAGCCUUGGGUGUAGUGGGGUUCCUGACUACGCUAUUUUUACAUGUGGGUCCUAGGGAUCUUAGGUUCGAGGCUUGGUGCUAAACUCCUGCUGAACCCCCUCAGCUCCAUUUUCAUUUCUUUCAUCUCCUUUUUGGGUACUGGCUAAAAGCCUAAGGCACAGUUUCCCUGAGACACAGUUUUCCUGAGGUUCUGUGCUUUCUGGUUUUUUUUUUUUUUUUUUUUUUUUUUACCUCCUUGCCCGACUUAAAAGACAGUUUUCUCAUCUCCUCUUGGAGGCCACAGGUUUUUCAGCUUGUUUAUCCUGUCUUUUUUUUUUCCCCUCUAAGUUUAAUAAAAUUGUUUAUGACCUUCUUUCUGAAACAGUUUUAAAUUAUUUUAUUAGUAAGGCUAAGAAUCCAAAGGAAACUGUACUAGUCAGGUUCUCUAGAAUCACAGAACUUAUGGGUUGCCUCUCUACAUUGAGGGAAUUUAUUGUAAUGACUUACUGUUUGCAGUCCAGCUAACCCAACAAUGGGCAUCUGUGAAUGGGAAGUCCAUGAGGGUAGUUGUUUCAUCUGGUUUUCUGUGUAAGCUGGAAUCCUGAAUAUGCAGAUUCUAACAGAUGUGCUGGCAAGUAAGUGCAAGCAGGUGAGGGAGAGUGAGCCUUCCUCCUUCCAACUUCCUUACAUCGUCCUCCAGCCGACGUGGCCCAGAGGUGUGUACCACCAUGCCUGGAUUUGGAAUUUGCUCUGUCCCGGACUGUCCUUGAACUCAGAGAUGUGCUUGCCUUCAUCUCCUGGGAUUAAAAGUGUGUACUACCUUGCAUGGGCCUAAGCUACUUGUGACCACUAUGCCUCCAGAUCUGAAUCCAAAGAGAGUGUCAUGCUGUGAUGGUUUGUAUAUGCUUGGCCCAGGGAGUGGCACUAUCAGAAGAUGUGGCCCUGUUGGAGUGGGUGUGUCACUGUGGGUUUGGGCUAUAAGACCCUCAUCUGAGCUGCCUGGAAGUCAGUUUUCCACUAGCGGCCUUCAGAACUCUCAGCUCCUCCUGCGCCAUGCCUGCCUGGAUGCUGCCAUGCUCCCACCUUAAUGAUAAUGGAUUGAACCUCUGAACUUGUAAGCCAGCCCCAAUUAAAUGUCCUUAUAAGAGUU
rnacentral:lncRNA from 1 species